rnacentral:rRNA from 1 species
CCUACGGGAGGCAGCAGUGAGGAAUAUUGGUCAAUGGACGCAAGUCUGAACCAGCCAUGCCGCGUGCAGGAAGACGGCUCUAUGAGUUGUAAACUGCUUUUGUACGAGGGUAAACGCAGAUACGCGUAUCUGUCUGAAAGUAUCGUACGAAUAAGGAUCGGCUAACUCCGUGCCAGCAGCCGCGGUAAUACGGAGGAUUCAAGCGUUAUCCGGAUUUAUUGGGUUUAAAGGGUGCGUAGGCGGGCGGAUAAGUUAGCGGUGAAAUCCCGGGGCGCAACCUCGGAAUUGCCUCUGAUACUGUUCGGCUAGAGCGUAGUUGCGGUAGGCGGAAUGUGUGGUGUAGCGGUGAAAUGCUUAGAGAUCAUGCAGAACACCGAUUGCGAAGGCAGCAUACCAGGCUACAUCUGACGUUGAGGCACGAAAGCGUGGGGAGCAAACAGGAUUAGAUACCCUUGUAGUC